UACGUAGGGUGCGAGCGUUGUCCGGAAUUACUGGGCAUAAAGCGCACGUAGGUGGUCCACUAAGUCGAGUGUGAAAUCCCCCGGCUCAACCGGGGAAUUGCGCUCGAUACUGGCGGGCUAGAGGUCGAUAGGGGUGAGCGGAACUCCAGGUGGAGCGGUGAAAUGCGUAGAUAUCUGGAGGAACACCGGUGGCGAAAGCGGCUCACUGGAUCGAAACUGACACUGAGGUGCGAAAGCUAGGGUAGCAAACGGG
rnacentral:rRNA from 1 species